rnacentral:lncRNA from 1 species
UUUGUUGAUUAUAUUCCCCAAUAAUCCCAUUGGAAAUAUAAUUACCCAUUUGCAUUCCCACAUGCAUCAUAUGAAUCAUUCAUAAAUGGUUUUUCUACCAAAUAGAAAAUUAAAAAAAAAACACAGUCAUAUCAAUCAUCAACAUACUCAUGCAUAACACUCCCACAAAAUGGGAAUUUCAACAAAAUAAAAAUCAUUCACAUUCCUACAUGCACAGCCAAAUACCCCCAGCAAUUGCAUACUGCAUAC